rnacentral:rRNA from 1 species
CAAUCUCAGUUCAGAUUGCAGGCUGCAACUCGCCUGCAUGAAGUCGGAAUUGCUAGUAAUCGUAGGUCAGCAUACUACGGUGAAUACGUUCCCGGGCCUUGUACACACCGCCCGUCAAACCAUGAGAGUUGGCAACACCCGAAGUCGGUAGUCUAACCGCAAGGAGGACGCCGCCGAAGGUGGGGUUGAUGAUUAGGGUUAAGUCGUAACAAGGUAGC